GUAUUGAUUCUUAAAUUUAGUACAGUGUUCAUAAGAACUUAUAACAUCUUACAUUUUGUAUUCUGUUUGGCGAUGUGAUGGAUUCAAAUUAUGGAUGUGAAACAGUGAUAUAACUUAGAUCUCAUUUUACCAUUUGUUUGUCAUGGUUGGUGCAAUUUUCUUUCUGUUUCGUUGUCCCUCUAGCCUCUACUGAUGGUACGCUUUGAUUUCUGAACAGCAAGGCCGUAACUUGCUUGGCAUAUUGCGCAGAAGGAAACCUCCUGCUUUCUGGAUCAGAAGAUGGCUUGGUUCAUGUUUGGGAUCCCAAAACGUGUGAUAUCGUUCGUGCUUUCGGCCAUGCAAAAGGUCCUGUGAACAAUGUUCAAAUAGUUAGAAGGCCGGUUGUAGCCAAUCCCUACAGUUCUAACAAAAUGCAAUCUUCAUGGAAAAGACAUGGAUCAUCGUUACCGCCUCCGUUAGAAAAAUAUGAAACUUCAAGAGACGAAGCUACGGACGAUGCGGUUACGGUUGAUCUGUCAGCUUGUGAUCUUCCUGCUUUCACCACGUACCUCAGCUCUCGCACAAUCAGCAAUCAAGUAAAAGAAUUUCAGCAACAAGGCUCUGCAGCAGCUGA